rnacentral:rRNA from 1 species
GACGAACGCUGGCGGCGUGCUUAACACAUGCAAGUCGAGCGGUGAAGCGCCUUCCUUUUUGGUGGGUGUGGAUGAGUGGCGAACGGGUGAGUAACACGUGAGUAACCUGCCCCCUUCUUCUGGAUAACCGCAUGAAAGUGUGGCUAAUACGGGAUAUUCUGGGUCUGUCGCAUGAUGGGUCUGGGAAAGAUAUUGUUUCGGUGGGGGAUGGGCUCGCGGCCUAUCAGCUUGUUGGUGGGGUGAUGGCCUACCAAGGCGGUGACGGGUAGCCGGCCUGAGAGGGUGGACGGUCACACUGGGACUGAGACACGGCCCAGACUCCUACGGGAGGCAGCAGUGGGGAAUAUUGCACAAUGGGCGCAAGCCUGAUGCAGCGACGCCGCGGGAGGGAUGGAGGCCUUCGGGUUGUGAACCUCUUUCGCCAGUGAAGCAGGCCUGCCUCGUUUGUGGGUGGGUUGACGGUAGCUGGAUAAGAAGCGCCGGCUAACUACGUG